AGAGUUUGAUCAUGGCUCAGAUUGAACGCUGGCGGCGUGCCUUACACAUGCAAGUCGAACGGCAGCACGGGGGCAACCCUGGUGGCGAGCGGCGAACGGGUGGGUAAUAUAUCGGAACGUGCCCUGGAGUGGGGGAUAACUAGUCGAAAGACUAGCUAAUACCGCAUACGAUCUGUGGAUGAAAGUGGGGGAUCGCAAGACCUCAUGCUCGUGGAGCGGCCGAUAUCUGAUUAGCUAGUUGGUAGGGUAAAAGCCUACCAAGGCAUCGAUCAGUAGCUGGUCUGAGAGGACGACCAGCCACACUGGGACUGAGACACGGCCCAGACUCCUACGGGAGGCAGCAGUGGGGAAUUUUGGACAAUGGGGGCAACCCUGAUCCAGCAAUGCCGCGUGAGUGAAGAAGGCCUUCGGGUUGUAAAGCUCUUUUGUCAGGGAAGAAACGGUCCGGGCUAAUAUCCUGGGCUAAUGACGGUACCUGAAGAAUAAGCACC
rnacentral:rRNA from 1 species